rnacentral:rRNA from 1 species
CNNUUUCGAUUGAGGGAGAAAGACUUGAGGAAUGUGGCUGUCUUCGGGCAGUGUUAUAGCCUCUUGUUGUAUGUCUCAAUUGGGAUUGAGGAAUGCAGCACGCCCUAUGGCUGGGGUUCGCCCUCAGUACGUGCUUAGGAUG